AGAUCUGUAUUAACUGCGUAUUAUGAUCCAGUGACUGUGAUAAACACUGGCAAUCCCAGAGAUUAGGAAGACAAGGUAUUUCUCACCCACAGGUUGAAGUCCUAACCAGCGAGUGCAUUUGGAGAUAAGGGUAAUUAAGUUAAAAUGAAGCUAUUAGCAUGGGACCCUAAUGCAAUAUGGUUGAUGUCCUGAAAAGAAGAGGAAGACGCUGCAGGGGUGUGAUACAAAGGGUAACCAUGGGAAGAGGCAGCAAGAGGGCGGCCAUCUGCAAGCCAAGGAGGGAGGCCUGAGAAGAAUUUACUGCUGCCAACACCCUGCUCUUGGACUUCCAGAUUCCAGUAUUUUAAGAAAAUAAAUUUCUGUUUAAGCCA